rnacentral:miRNA from 1 species
AGACGCUACCGAGAGAGAGAGAGAGAGAGAGAGAGAGAUGGGGAAGGAGAAAGAGAGAGCAGAGGUGAAGUGAAGAGAUGGAUCAUUUCAAUCCCAGGAAACCAGAUGAUGGAGGGCAAAAAGGCAAAAGGAAUAUGCAAAGAGGGCAAGAUGAGGAGACAAGUGAUGGGAUGAGUGGGUAGGCUCUCUCUCUCUCUCUCUCUCUCUCUCUCUCUCUCUCUCUCUCUACUGUUUU